CCUGACGGAGCAUACCGCGUGAGGGANGACGGCCUAUGGGUUGUAAACCUCUUUUUUCAGGGAGGAAUCAAUGACGUGUACCUGAAGAAUAAGCAUCGGCUAACUCCGUGCCAGCAGCCGCGGUAAGACGGAGGAUGCAAGUGUUAUCCGGAAUCACUGGGCGUAAAGCGUCUGUAGGUGGUUUAAUAAGUCAACUGUUAAAUCUUGAGGCUCAACUUCAAAAUCGCAGUCGAAACUAUUAGACUAGAGUAUAGUAGGGGUAAAGGGAAUUUCCAGUGGAGCGGUGAAAUGCGUAGAGAUUGGAAAGAACACCGAUGGCGAAGGCACUUUACUGGGCUAUUACUAACACUCAGAGACGAAAGCUAGGGUAGCAAAUGGGAUUAGAUACCCCAGUAGUCCUAGCCGUAAACAAUGGAUACUAGAUGUUGAACAGAUCGACCUGUGCAGUAUUAAAGCUAACGCGUUAAGUAUCCCGCCUGG
rnacentral:rRNA from 1 species